rnacentral:rRNA from 1 species
UCGGAUUGUAGUCUGCAACCCGACUACAUGAAGCCGGAAUCGCUAGUAAUCGCGGAUCAGAAUGCCGCGGUGAAUACGUUCCCGGGUCUUGUACACACCGCCCGUCACACCAUGGGAGUUGGAAAUGCCCGAAGUCAGUGGCCCAACCGGAAGGGGGGAGCUGCCGAAGGCAGGUUCGAUGACUGGGGUGAAGUCGUAACAAGGUAAC